AUCCUUUUGCAGUACAUAAGCAUGAUGAUUGGGUUUUUAUGCGCAUGUGUGAGAUAUGCCUCCCACAGAUUUUGUUACGAUGUUGGCACAUGACCUGUCUGACA